AUUGAACGCUGGCGGCAGGCCUAACACAUGCAAGUCGAGCGAGCGGCGGACGGGUGAGUAAUGUAUGGGGACUGCCCGAUAGAGGGGGAUAACUACUGGAAACGGUGGCUAAUACCGCAUACUGUCGGAUAACCCAUAUGGGAUUAGCUAGUAGGUGGGGUAAAGGCUCACCUAGGCGACGAUCUCUAGCUGGUCUGCGAGGAUGAUCGGCAAACCUGGACCUGAGACACGGCCCAGAUUCCAAGGGAGGCAGCGGUGGGGAAUAUGGCAAAAGGGGCGAAAGCCUGAUGCAGCCAUGCCGGGUGUAUGAAGAAGGCCUUAGGGUUGUAAAGUACUUUCAGCGGGGAGGCGUUACCAGCAGAAGAAGCACCGGCUAACUCCUGCCAGCAGCCGCGGUAAUUC
rnacentral:rRNA from 1 species